AUGAACGCUGGCGGCGCGCCUAACACAUGCAAGUCGAACGGCACCCCUCUCCGGAGGGAAGCGAGUGGCGAACGGCUGAGUAACACGUGGAGAACCUGCCCCCUCCCCCGGGAUAGCCGCCCGAAAGGACGGGUAAUACCGGAUACCCCCGGGCGCCGCAUGGCGCCCGGGCUAAAGCCCCGACGGGAGGGGAUGGCUCCGCGGCCCAUCAGGUAGACGGCGGGGUGACGGCCCACCGUGCCGACAACGGGUAGCCGGGUUGAGAGACCGACCGGCCAGAUUGGGACUGAGACACGGCCCAGACUCCUACGGGAGGCAGCAGUGGGGAAUCUUGCGCAAUGGGGGGAACCCUGACGCAGCUACGCCGCGUGCCGGACUGAGGCCUCCCGGUCUUAAACCGCUUUCAGCAGGGAAGAGUCAAGACUGUACCUGCAGAAGAAGCCCCGGCUAACUACGUGCCAGCAGCCGCGGUAAUACGUAGGGGGCGAGCGUUAUCCGGAUUCAUUGGGCGUAAAGCGCGCGUAGGCGGCCCGGCAGGCCGGGGGUCGAAGCGGGGGGCUCAACCCCCCGAAGCCCCCGGAACCUCCGCGGCUUGGGUCCGGUAGGGGAGGGUGGAACACCCGGUGUAGCGGUGGAAUGCGCAGAUAUCGGGUGGAACACCGGUGGCGAAGGCGGCCCUCUGGGCCGAGACCGACGCUGAGGCGCGAAAGCUGGGGGAGCGAACAGGAUGAGAUACCCUGGUAGUCCACACUGUAAACGAUGAAUGCUAGGUGUAGGGGGUAUCGACCCCUUCUGUGCCGGAGUAAACACAAUAAGCAUUCCGCCUGGGGAGUACGGCCGCAAGGUUGAAACUCAAAGGAAUUGACGGGGGCCCGCACAAGCAGCGCACCCUCUGGCUUAAUUCGAAGCAACGCGAAGAACCUUACCAGGUCUUGACAUUGAUGGACAGAACUAGAGAUAGUUCCUCUUCUUCGGAAGCCAGAAAACAGGUGGUGCACGGUUGUCGUCAGCUCGUGUCGUGAGAUGUUGGGUUAAGUCCCGCAACGAGCGCAACCCCCGCCGCGUGUUGCCAUCGGGUGAUGCCGGGAACCCACGCGGGACCGCCGCCGUCAAGGCGGAGGAGGGCGGGGACGACGUCAAGUCAUCAUGCCCCUUAUGCCCUGGGCUGCACACGUGCUACAAUGGCCGGUACAGAGGGAUGCCACCCCGCGAGGGGGAGCGGAUCCCGGAAAGCCGGCCCCAGUUCGGAUUGGGGGCUGCAACCCGCCCCCAUGAAGUCGGAGUUGCUAGUAAUCGCGGAUCAGCAUGCCGCGGUGAAUGCGUUCCCGGGCCUUGUACACACCGCCCGUCACACCACCCGAGUCGUCUGCACCCGAAGUCGCCGGCCCAACCUUUCGAGGGGGGAGGCGCCGAAGGUGUGGAGGGUGAGGGGGGUG
rnacentral:rRNA from 1 species